rnacentral:rRNA from 1 species
UACGGAGGGUGCAAGCGUUAAUCGGAAUUACUGGGCGUAAAGCGCACGCAGGUGGCUGAGUCAGUCGAUUGUGAAAGCCCUGGGCUUAACCUGGGAAUUGCAGUCGAUACUACUCAGCUAGAGUAUGGGAGAGGGUAGUGGAAUUCCCGGUGUAGCGGUGAAAUGCGUAGAUAUCGGGAGGAACAUCAGUGGCGAAGGCGGCUACCUGGCCUGUUUCUUGACGCUGAGGCGCGAAAGCUAGGGGAGCAAACGGG